CUGCUCUGGAUUCAGCGGCGGACGGGUGAGUAAUGCCUAGGAAUCUGCCUGGUAGUGGGGGACAACGUUUCGAAAGGAACGCUAAUACCGCAUACGUCCUACGGGAGAAAGCAGGGGACCUUCGGGCCUUGCGCUAUCAGAUGAGCCUAGGUCGGAUUAGCUAGUUGGUGAGGUAAUGGCUCACCAAGGCGACGAUCCGUAACUGGUCUGAGAGGAUGAUCAGUCACACUGGAACUGAGACACGGUCCAGACUCCUACGGGAGGCAGCAGUGGGGAAUAUUGGACAAUGGGCGAAAGCCUGAUCCAGCCAUGCCGCGUGUGUGAAGAAGGUCUUCGGAUUGUAAAGCACUUUAAGUUGGGAGGAAGGGUUGUAAAUUAAUACUUUGCUGUUUUGACGUUACCGACAGAAUAAGCACCGGCUAACUCUGUGCCAGCAGCCGCGGUAAUACAGAGGGUGCAAGCGUUAAUCGGAAUUACUGGGCGUAAAGCGCGCGUAGGUGGUUUGUUAAGUUGGAUGUGAAAUCCCCGGGCUCAACCUGGGAACUGCAUCCAAAACUGGCAAGCUAGAGUAUGGUAGAGGGUGGUGGAAUUUCCUGUGUAGCGGUGAAAUGCGUAGAUAUAGGAAGGAACACCAGUGGCGAAGGCGACCACCUGGACUGAUACUGACACUGAG
rnacentral:rRNA from 1 species